GAAACUCGAUACCGGCUUUUUUUCCACACUUUCGUGAAAAUAGUGGAGUUACUCGUUCGUUCCGCGUUGGAGAGACGCGGUAUUGAUUUUCGUUUAAGAUUUUUCGGGCAGUAUUAUUUCUAAUUUGUGUUUUCAGUAUUUGGAUUAAACAACGAGAGUAAUUGUGCUUUCAAUUUUUCUAAAUUUAAAAAAUAUCUCUUUAAUUUUAUUUGUAAUUGUAUUGAAACGAAUCGAUUCGAAAUUUUGUAAUAAAUGAACACACGUAGACGUCUUCUGAAAGAUUUUAAAACUAUUUUUAUCUCGCAAAAAAAGAAAAAUUCGGAGAGGAGAGUAAAGAAAAAUUUAUCAACGAUUUAAAAACAGGCUGGUGAAAAAUUGAAAUUUUAGACACUUCGGUCGCACGCAAAAUUUAAUAUUCUUGGUCUGGUGAAAUCUGAUAAAAUUCAACCGUGAAAUUGACAAAAGGAUCACAAAAUAGAAACGGGAGGGAAAAAAAAGAAAGAAAGGGAGGAAAGAAAGAAAGAAAGAACGAUUUCAUAUCGCUUUUAAGCGCUUAUACAGAAACGAAUCUACUUUCAAACAAUAUCAUUGUUUUAUUCCAUAGGAAGCGGGAUAGAAAAAUAAAGUAAAAAUAAGAGAAAAGGGAAAUAAACGGAAUUAGCGAUAGCGCGUUUAGCAUACCGUGGAAGAUUAUUCGACGAGCGGGAAUUUUAAAGUCCUUGAAUCUUUCAUCGGAUCGAUAUUUGACCAUCCCCGUUGAAAAUUCGCUAGAGUUUCUGCUUUUAAUUAUGCAUUACCGCCUAGUCCUCGUUUCGACGCCGAAAUCGAAAUCUUCGAAACGAAACGAUGCCUCUAUCCUCGUUGAAAAAUACAUUCAACUUGCUUCUAUUUUCAUUCAACUUUCGAAUCGUAAUCGAUUGCGCCAGAACAGAUGGACAAUUUUCGCCUGAUGCUUCCUAUCUCUUCUAAUUCCUCCGUUUUCGAGAGAAUUCAAAAAUACGCAAAAGACGAAAUACAUAAAUGAAAAUGGCACUCCUUCCAUAUUUAAAGAAGAAAAGAUUCGAACCCUUAACGAAGACAUCGUUAUUCAAUGGAAUGGAAAAAAAAAAUAUAUAUAUAUAUACAUAAAACACGUGUUCUUUUCGACAGUGUUAAUAACAUUCGUUAUUCAAAAGUUCAUAUUUCUCAAGAAAGAAGGAAAAAAGGAGAAGGAAAGAUUGGAUUUUUUAACGAACACACCGUUUGAAAGAAUAACGCGGAAAUUACGCGUAUAAUCUGGAAAAAUCCCGUAGAGCUGUGUCUCUCUCUUCCGUCGAGGCUCAUCAGCGAAUCAGUGGACAAGGUUAAGAUGAUAAAACCGGGACGAGGGAAGCUGACGGCGUAGUUAAUCGAAAUUAAUCACGGGGCCGGCUUCGUAACGAGACAAAUUAAACAUUCGUUAAACGCGACGUGACGAUGACCCAAUUAACCGCGACCUGCUCAUCCUUCCGGCAACCAGACCCUCUCCAUGUGCGACCCAGUUAUCCCCUGGUCGACGGUCGACGGCCCGCGAGAGAAUAUCGCGUUGCGCCUCGUCCUCCACGAUUUUCCCCGAUUUUUUUAAUUAGUGUCGAAAGCAACACGCCUCGUCUCCGUGAAUUUCGUCGAAAAGAGCGGUGAAAAGAAUAAAAUGUCCCCUCCUCCUCCUCCCCCCUCUCCCCCUUGGAAAAUUAUUUUCGACUUUUUGGGUCGAGAACUGGGAUAAGAGAACAACUUUUAGAGAAUUAUGAGAGGAAAGAGAGAGAGAGAGAGAGAGAAAGGGUGGAUAGAAAUAGAGGUGUCGUUCACAAUUGUUCGUUGGAUAUGGGAGAGAAAGUUGUACGCGUAAGUUUUUCUCUUUUUGUGAAAAUGUGAAGAAGAUUCUUCCGUUUGUCGAUUGAUUUUUUUUUUUUUUUUUUAUUGAUAUUGAGUCUUUCUCCAGAAAUUUUUCGAUGUGCAAUUAAUAUCUGUGUAAAAUUGAUCAACCCGGAAAAAAGAUAUUAAUUAACAUACUAGCGAUGCUUGAUGCAACUCGCUCGACCAUUUGAUGAAAUCAAUAUCGGAUUAUCGUGGAAAUUCCAAUGAAAGUCGCGAGAGAUUAAAUGACUCUCCCUAGAAAUUCCUCGAUAUUCGUUGGAGCUUCGCUUCGAAUUCCUGUCUGCCCAAAAUUGGAUGUGAUUUUUAUAUACUUUUUAGUUACUUUAUCAUCAUUAAGGAAACGGUUGCCAGAUAAAUAAAACGAUUAUAUCGCGUAAUUUUAUAUUUGAAGAAAAAUAUAGGGCAACGAUUUUUCCAACAUAACAUAAAAUGUUGUCGUGUAAUAUUCAUCGUGAAUGAAUCGUUGGCGAAGAAAGGCAUUUUAUUUCGUUUCAAUUGAAGCUAUUGAUAACGUGUCGGAUAUAAUAAAAUUCAUCGAUUUCUCCACAUAAACCCCAAUGAGGGAAAGCUUAAUCUAAAUCGAAAAAGUGGAUUCUAUUGUAACAAAGAGGAUUCAUUCCCUUUGUCGUAUUACACAUAAACAAAAUUGAACGUGAAAAGCAAAGAGAAAAUUAAUAGAAAUAUUACAAAUGGUCUUUUAUGGAACCGUCCAUGAAAUCACAAUGACUCGAAAUAAUGCUUUUUAAAUCACUUCGAAACUAUACAUAUUUUAAUUCAUUCGUUGUUAAGGCCAUGCAUACACAUUUAUAAAUAAAUAAGCAUCAGAUAUACAUCAAUCUUUGCAGCGUUUAAACUUGUAUUCCCUCGAUUACCCAAAUGUAAAGAUCCGGUUCGUAGAAUUUAAUUAAAAUAAAUCAUCCUUUUCAAUCAAUAAUAUUUCAAUGUCUUUCAACGCCGAAUUCAACUUCCCGGUUCCAAUAAUUUCAAAAUAUAUUAAAUUUACGAUACGAUUCCGUAUCGAACACAUCGAUCAACUAUUCAGCUUAAAAGAACCGUUUGAUACAAUUUUAAACGGUACAAAGAACGACAAUACUCGACUUGUGCAAUAUUUUCCUUCUGCGAUUAAUAAAAUCUCGAUUUCGAUUUCGUCGAAAAAAGAGAAAAAAAUUCAUCAAACCUAGUCAAACACGUUGGAACCGAUCCCUAGCAUCCCUAACAUCGCAAAAUCCCUCCCUCGUCCCCACGAAACCCGUUCAAACCGUGACCAACGACGACCAACGCGAAGCAACCCGAUCAAACCGCGGAGAAAGAAUCGGAAACCCUCCUUCCAACGUGCUCAUAAGCCGGAAAACAAUUAUUUUCGAAUCAACGCGGCCUCCAACGAGGGCGAGAUCGAUUCGAGGUUAAUCGAGCACAUAAUUCAGGGGCGACGCUGCGUGUUUGCACGCGGCAAAUCCGGAAUCCGCACGCGAGCAGGUGCGACGCAAUAAGCGGCCGUGCCAUUUCCAACCCCGUAUUUUCUUUCUUUCCAAACCUCUCAACUCUCUCUUUCUCUCCGUGAUAAAUUCCGGAGCGUUUGUUGUUCCUUGAAGCUGGAUGGAAUUUAUGGUGGCGAGAUAUUAAUCGAUUUCGGGAUAUCGGCAACGUGGGAAGCUUUCGACGAUUUUUCGGAUCUUGAUGUAUCGAAAAGUUGUUAGAAACAGUUUUUUUUUUUUCUUUCUUUUUCAGAAUUUGAAGUUCGGGAAAGGAAAUUUGGAGUGAGAUUUAGUUGGUUAGCGUUUUGCAGGGGGGGGAGGGAUUAUUUUUCAAGCUUUCCAAUUUCCACGAGUAUAAAUUUUCGUUGCUUCGUCUUUUUAUCUUUUUAUUUUCCGAUUUAUAAUUUGAUAAACGCGAAAUAAUCCGUGAUCAUUUCGUAUGGCGUGACAGGUCGCGCGUAACGUGAUUUUUAAAGCGCGGAAACAUCGGGCAAAAUUACGGGCGAAGCUAAUUUCGUUUUUCGUUACUUUUGACGUUGAGAAAUUUGCGUUAAUUUCGCGAGCAAGGUAAUUCGUGAUAAUAUCCACGAAUUAUUUAUCUCGGAAUCGGAGAUAUUUCUAAAAGUGAACGUAUCUUAUUUGAAUGAUUCUUUUAUUACCCCGUUUAAUACACGUCGUUAAGUUUGUUACUCGAUGAUAUAAAAAUCAAUCGAUGAGGUUAAUAGUCUCGUUGACACGAAUAUUUGUCUCGCGAUAAAUUUGAUAACACGUUGCAGCUUAUACGUGUAGUGUAUAUCAAUAAAUCAUGGCCAGUUAGAGUCAAUAAAUAUUGAAUCAUUAACAAUUCCAGUGGCAAGAGCUUUCCAACCUUGAAUCAUUAACUAUCGAAUUCAUGGGAAUUCAUAUCGUGAUUGAAUGCAUGUCGUUGCAUGAUAAUUCCAAAGCUCUGUCUUCGACGUUGUCACAAUUAUAUACUUCCAUAUUUUUCUUUCUUUCUUUUCUCUUCACAUUUCAUGUCACGAAUGCUGCCACGCAUUUUAGGAGACUAUUUUUAAAGAAAAAGUUAAAUAAUUUCUAUUGGAGGUACAAUUCGAUUUCGAAGCAGAUCGGAAAAAUUCUGGUUCAGAAUCGAAAAGAUCUUAUAAAGAACAACGAUGCGACGAAGCGUUUGUUUUAUUAUAUAAAGAUACGAACAAUUUAUGUAAAAAAUAGCAGCGUUUAAAGAUACCAACAUUUCUAAAGCCAGUCAUUCCGUCCGGUUCACUUACGUGAUAAUAUUAUAGUCAAAAAUAGAUAUGCUUCCUACGCAUUUAUCUUUAAGAAAAAUCAUGAAACAAUAGAGGGAAGGGAACAAGAAACUAGCAAUUUAUCAAACAUGUAGAAAAGAGAUAUUAACGAUCGGAAGUAAUGUCGAAAAAUAGUGAUAAUUGCGUUCGAUAAUAACAGAGAGGGAUCUGGCAAGUCCAAUUAUCGUAAAAAUUUUCCCGAUUCCCAAGAAACAUUAGCAAUUAUUCGACGCGUGCGUGUUCUCAAAGGGAUUCCGUUCGGAUCUCCAUUCAGCAAAGGGGGCCAAGGACAGAUCGAUUUCAAAGUUGGUUCCAUUAAGAAUUUCUUCUUUUCUCGUGUCCCAAUUAUUCAUUUAAUCACACGCGAUCAUCCUUGGAAUCGAUCCAGUUUUCAUAACAAAAAAGAAAAGGAAAAUGGCCGAAUGAAUAAAAUAUGGCACAACGCUUUACGACCUCCUAUUCCUAUUUUUUUUCCCUCCUGAUUUCCUUUGUUUCUUUUCUUUCUCUCUCCCUCUCCCUCUCUCUCCUUUCUUUCUUUUCUACUUCCUACGUAGGAAAAAUAGAUCAUUGGGACGGCAAACACAGCUGGCCCAUCGUCGUUUAAUUGCAAAUAAAAUUUUAAUCCGGUAAAGGGAUUGCAUUGAUUCCCGGCGUAAACUGCACCGCGAUUUCCAUUUUUAUUCGAGGGACUCGGUGCAUAUCUGCACGCGAAUCGAUCGCCGUUCGAAUUCGUAAACGGGGGUGAAAAAAAGAAAAAAAAGGAACGAGAAUCGUCUAUCUUUCGACGUUCUGCCUCGUUGACGUUGUAACGGGGAGGAAGCGUGGGAUUUUCGAGAGAUUGGAUCUGAUUGAAAAGUUACUAUUUAGACGGAGGAAAAAAAGGAUAAGAAACGGAAUCGUUGAUAAUCGCUACGAGAAUGUCGAUCUCUUCCUUCUUGGAGGAAAACACCGCGUUCCUUUCCACGUUUCAAUCUCUCGAGACAAGUUUUCGCGCGAACCCAAAGAAAGAAAAGAAAAGAAAA